GACGAACGCUGGCGGCGUGCUUAACACAUGCAAGUCGAACGGAAAGGCCCUGCUUUUGUGGGGUGCUCGAGUGGCGAACGGGUGAGUAACACGUGAGUAACCUGCCCUUGACUUUGGGAUAACUUCAGGAAACUGGGGCUAAUACCGGAUAGGAGCUCCUGCUGCAUGGUGGGGGUUGGAAAGUUUCGGCGGUUGGGGAUGGACUCGCGGCUUAUCAGCUUGUUGGUGGGGUAGUGGCUUACCAAGGCUUUGACGGGUAGCCGGCCUGAGAGGGUGACCGGCCACAUUGGGACUGAGGUACGGCCCCGACUCCUACGGGAGGCAGCAGUGGGGAAUAUUGCACGAUGGGCGGAAGCCUGAUGCAGCAACGCCGCGUGCGGGAUGACGGCCUUCGGGUUGUAAACCGCUUUCGCCUGUGACGAAGCGUGAGUGACGGUAAUGGGUACAGAAGCACCGGCUAACUACGUG
rnacentral:rRNA from 1 species